rnacentral:ncRNA from 1 species
AGCUAGAUGAGCUCUUAGAGCUCCAUAAACAUUUAAAGGUUUGGUCCCAGCCUUCCUAUUAGUUAUUAGCAAAUUUACACAUGCAAGUAUCCGCAUCCCUGUGAGAAUACCCUCUAAGUCAUAAUUGACUAAAAGGAGUGGGUAUCAAGCACACUCUUUAUAGAGUAGCUAAUUACACCUUGCCUAGCCACACCCCCACGGGAAACAGCAGUGAUAAAAAUUAAGUAAUAAACGAAAGUUUGACUAAGUUAUGCUAAUCUAGGGUUGGUAAAUUUCGUGCCAGCCACCGCGGUCAUACGAUUAACCCAAAUUAAUAGGUAACGGCGUAAAGUGUGUUAAAGAUUUAACAAAAUAAAUAAAGAUAAAAUUUAGCUAGGCUGUAGAAAGCAACAGCUAAAAUUAAAAUAUACUACGAAAGUGACUUUAUUAAGUCUACUACACGAUAGCUGAGAUCCAAACUGGGAUUAGAUACCCCACUAUGCUCAGCCUUAAACUCAAGUAAUUCACAAACAAAAUUACUCGCCAGAGGACUACUAGCAAUAGCUUAAAACUCAAAGGACUUGGCGGUGCUUUAUAUCCUUCUAGAGGAGCCUGUUCUAUAAUCGAUAAACCCCGAUAAACCUCACCACCCCUUGCUAAUCCAGCUUAUAUACCGCCAUCUUCAGCAAACCCCAAAAGGGAACUAUAGUAAGCAGAAACAUCUAACAUAAAAACGUUAGGUCAAGGUGUAGCUCAUGAGGUGGGAAGAAAUGGGCUACAUUUUCUAUUACUUAGAACAUAACGAAAGUCUCUAUGAAAUCAGUGACUAAAGGAGGAUUUAGUAGUAAGCCAAGAAUAGAGUGCUUGACUGAAUUAGGCCAUGAAGCACGCACACACCGCCCGUCACCCUCCUCAAGUACAUAAACUAACCUUAUUCCUGAAUAAACAGUAUAAUCAUAUUAGAGGAGAUAAGUCGUAACAAGGUAAGCAUACUGGAAAGUGUGCUUGGACAAAUCAAAGU